CCUUCGUGCCAGCAGCCGCGGUAAUACGUAGGGUGCGAGCGUUAAUCGGAAUUACUGGGCGUAAAGCGAGCGCAGACGGUUAAUUAAGUCAGAUGUGAAAUCCCCGAGCUCAACUUGGGACGUGCAUUUGAAACUGGUUAACUAGAGUGUGUCAGAGGGAGGUAGAAUUCCACAUGUAGCAGUGAAAUGCGUAGAGAUGUGGAGGAAUACCGAUGGCGAAGGCAGCCUCCUGGGAUAACACUGACGUUCAUGCUCGAAAGCGUGGGUAGCAAACAGGAUUAGAUACCCUGGUAGUCCACGCCCUAAACGAUGACAAUUAGCUGUUGGGACACUAGAUGUUUUAGUAGCGAAGCUAACGCGUGAAAUUGUCCGCCUGGGGAGUACGGUCGCAAGAUUAAAACUCAAAGGAAUUGACGGGGACCCGCACAAGCGGUGGAUGAUGUGGAUUAAUUCGAUGCAACGCGAAGAACCUUACCUGGUCUUGACAUGUACGGAAUCUCUUAGAGAUAGGAGAGUGCCUUCGGGAGCCGUAACACAGGUGCUGCAUGGCUGUCGUCAGCUCGUGUCGUGAGAUGUUGGGUUAAGUCCCGCAACGAGCGCAACCCUUGUCAUUAGUUGCCAUCAUUAAGUUGGGCACUCUAAUGAGACUGCCGGUGACAAACCGGAGGAAGGUGGGGAUGACGUCAAGUCCUCAUGGCCCUUAUGACCAGGGCUUCACACGUCAUACAAUGGUCGGUACAGAGGGUAGCGAAGCCGCGAGGUGAAGCCAAUCUCAGAAAGCCGAUCGUAGUCCGGAUUGCACUCUGCAACUCGAGUGCAUGAAGUCGGAAUCGCUAGUAAUCGCAGGUCAGCAUACUGCGGUGAAUACGUUCCCGGGUCUUGUACACACCGCCCGUCACACCAUGGGAGUGGGGGAUACCAGAAUUGGGUAGACUAACCGCAAGGAGGUCGCUUAACACGGUAUGCUUCAUGACUGGGGUGAAGUCGUAACAAGGUAA
rnacentral:rRNA from 1 species